UGCAGCUUGCUAGUUGCCGAUCGGCUCUCGCAUCCGUCUCCCCCAUUUUUGUCGAACGACCGUCUGCGCUCUCAUCUCUCUCUCCGUCGUUCACGCCACUGCAAGCUCUUUGUUGUUGACGUUGCAGCAAGCUCUCUUUCUUUCUUUGUCGUUCCACCGUCGCCGCUGCAAGCUCCACAGUUCACGUUGCUGCAAGCUCCGCCGUUCACGCCGUUGUAAGCUCUGCCGUUCACGCCGCUGUAAGCUCCGCCGUUCACACUGCUGCAAGCUCUUUCUCUGUGGUUCCACCGUCGCCACCAAAAAAAGUAAGGGACUUGAGUUUCCUACCCAUUUGGCUGAUCCUUCUCGUAGUCCUCCACGUGCCCAGGGAUAGUGUAUUUUCAAGUGCUAUCAUUAUGCAUGAGGUAUUGAAUGGGCAUGCCAAUAGAUGCUAUGAAGAGUUUAGGAUGGAACGUCAUGUCUUCCUCAACCUAUGUGAUUAUAUUAGACAUAGGGGGUGAUUGAAAGACAUGACCAACAUCCGAGUGGAUGAACAACUUGAAAUGUUCCUAUGGAUUGUUGGGAAGGGUUCAAGUAAUAGGGACACCCAAAAUCAUUCCAACCACUCAUGAGAAAGAGUUAGUCGAACAUUCAAUAUUGUCUUGAUUGCAAUGCAACGCUUGGCUAAGGAGAAAAUCAGACCACUAGACGUCAGUAUGAUACCGAUAGAGAUUGCACAGAACCUGAAAUACUACCCUUUUUUCAAGGUAAAUAUGUUAAUAUGAUACAUGUUUGUAAUUAAAUAUAUGAAUAUUUAUAUUCUUAAAUGUAGUGACCAUUUAAUUGUCAAUAUAUGUCAUAGCACUUUAUUAGCGUCAUGAUGGUACUUACAUCAAUGCGGGAGUUCCAAGAGAGGAUCAAACUCAAUAUAGGAAUCGAAAGGAGAUCACAACUCAAAAUGUGAUGUGUGUAUGUUCAUUUGACAUGCGAUUCAUAUAUGUGUAUGAGAGAUGGGAAGGUAAUGCAAAUGAUUGUCAAGUACUUGAACAGGCAAGGAGUGAUCCUCGAUUGAGUUUUCCACAUCCACCUCCAGAUGACUUCUUCUAUGCCCCCACUCAUACUAGCAAAUUGUGAAAUUUGCGGGAAGAG